UACCUCAUAGUCUAGUGGUCAAGGUGUCAGACUCCCAGGCUGAAAGACCUCAGGUUCGAUCCCUGGUGCGGGAU
rnacentral:tRNA from 1 species